UAGCUUGACACUGAACAUUGAGCCUUGAUGUGUAGGAUAGGUGGGAGGCUUUGAAGUGUGGACGCCAGUCUGCAUGGAGCCGACCUUGAAAUACCACCCUUUAAUGUUUGAUGUUCUAACGUGGACCCGUAAUCCGGGUUGCGGACAGUGUCUGGUGGGUAGUUUGACUGGGGCGGUCUCCUCCUAAAGAGUAACGGAGGAGCACGAAGGUUGGCUAAUCCUGGUCGGACAUCAGGAGGUUAGUGCAAUGGCAUAAGCCAGCUUGACUGCGAGCGUGACGGCGCGAGCAGGUGCGAAAGCAGGUCAUAGUGAUCCGGUGGUUCUGAAUGGAAGGGCCAUCGCUCAACGGAUAAAAGGUACUCCGGGGAUAACAGGCUGAUACCGCCCAAGAGUUCAUAUCGACGGCGGUGUUUGGCACCUCGAUGUCGGCUCAUCACAUCCUGGGGCUGAAGUAGGUCCCAAGGGUAUGGCUGUUCGCCAUUUAAAGUGGUACGCGAGCUGGGUUUAGAACGUCGUGAGACAGUUCGGUCCCUAUCUGCCGUGGGCGCUGGAGAACUGAGGGGGGCUGCUCCUAGUACGAGAGGACCGGAGUGGACGCAUCACUGGUGUUCGGGUUGUCAUGCCAAUGGCACUGCCCGGUAGCUAAAUGCGGAAGAGAUAAGUGCUGAAAGCAUCUAAGCACGAAACUUGCCCCGA
rnacentral:rRNA from 2 species